UACGUAGGCAGCGAGCGUUGUUCGGAAUUACUGGGCGUAAAGAGUGUGUAGGCGGUGCUCCCAGUCUGUUGUGAAAUCUCCCGGCUUAACUGGGAGGGUGCAGCGGAAACUAGAGUGCUAGAGGGUGGGAGAGGUAAGCGGAAUUCCUGGUGUAGCGGUGAAAUGCGUAGAUAUCAGGAGGAGCACCUGUGGUGUAGACAGCUUACUGGACCACUUCUGACGCUGAGACACGAAAGCGUGGGUAGCAAACAGG
rnacentral:rRNA from 1 species